CCAAUAGCGUAUAUUAAAGUUGUUGCAGUUAAAAAGCUCGUAGUUGAACUUCGGGGUUCACCCAUUGGUCAGGCUUAAUUGUCUGCACUGGUGAGAUGAAUCUCUACCUUCUGAGGAACUUUCAUGCCAUUUAUUUGGUGUGAUGGGAAAUCAGGACUGUUACUUUGAAAAAAUUAGAGUGUUUAAAGCAGGCUAACGUCUGAAUACAUUAGCAUGGAAUAAUGAAAUAGGACGGACUGAUUCUAUUUCGUUGGUUUCUAGGAUCACCGUAAUGAUUAAUAGGGAUAGUUGGGGGGCAUUAGUAUUCAAUUGUCAGAGGUGAAAUUCUUGGAUUUAUUGAAGACUAACUACUGCGAAAGCAUUUGCCAAGGAUGUUUUCAUUAAUCAAGAACGAAAGUUAGGGGAUCGAAGACGAUCAGAUACCGUCGUAGUCUUAACCAUAAACUAUGCCGACUAGGGAUCGGACGAAGUUAAUUUUAUAAUGACGCGUUCGGCACCUUACG
rnacentral:rRNA from 1 species